rnacentral:lncRNA from 1 species
AUCAUAUGAAUAAUCAUUAUAGCACCUUAUUUAAAUUGAUCAAUAUGUUGAUAACUAAGAGACCAUGAAAAGUUCAGAGGUACAUAUCUGAAAAGUCUAAAAAAAUAACAACACAUCUUUGGAAGACAUGUCAAAAUUGCUCAAAACUGAUCUUAUGAUUUUUUUCUUCUCCCAGUUGAGUGUUAGACUUUAGUGCCUGUUUAUGCACUUUACUUCAAGGUCUAAGGGAAGCAAGAAGGC